rnacentral:misc_RNA from 1 species
CUUUGCCUUUUGAAUCUAAGGAAUUUGUUGUCAAGCUGGUUGAGAGGAAUGAUGGUGCAGGGUCUUCUGGUUCAACCACGAGGGAGCGCCAAUUUAAGGUGGCAAUCAAAUUUGCAGCUAAGGCGGACCUUCAUCAUCUGCAACAAUUUUUAUAUGGUAGACAAAUGGAUGCUCCGCAAGAAACCAUACAAGUUCUUGAUAUUGUUCUCAGGGCAUCUCCGUCGGAAAAGUAUAUAACUGUUGGGNNNNNUUUCUCAUCUGAUUUGGGGCCAAGGGGUGAGCUUGGUGAUGGUAUAGAAUAUUGGAGAG